rnacentral:rRNA from 1 species
UGGGGAAUUUUGCACAAUGGGGGAAACCCUGAUGCAGCGACGCCGCGUGAUUUAGAAGGCCUUCGGGUUGUAAAAAUCUUUUCUAUGGGAAGAAAAUGACAGUACCAUAGGAAUAAGGACCGGCUAAUUACGUGCCAGCAGCCGCGGUAAUACGUAAGGUCCGAGCGUUGUCCGGAAUCAUUGGGCGUAAAGGGUACGUAGGCGGGUAAGCAAGUUAGAAGUGAAAUCCUAUAGCUCAACUAUAGUAAGCUUUUAAAACUGCUCAUCUUGAGGUAUGGAAGGAAAAGUGGAAUUCCUAGUGUAGCGGUGAAAUGCGCAGAUAUUAGGAGGAAUACCGGUGGCGAAGGCGACUUUCUGGCCAUAACCUGACGCUGAGGUACGAAAGCGUGGGUAGCAAACAGG